CUGCGGGCAUCGUAUAAUGGCUAUUACCUCAGCCUUCCAAGCUGAUGAUGCGGGUUCGAUUCCCGCUGCCCGCUC
rnacentral:tRNA from 1 species